rnacentral:tRNA from 1 species
GGUGUAGUAUGAUUUGGAUAUUUUGCAAAAAUAUUUUAGAUGAUUAGUAUUAUCAUCCAUACUU